rnacentral:rRNA from 1 species
CGGAAGGGGCAAGCGUUGUUCGGAAUCAUUGGGCGUAAAGGGCGCGUAGGUGGUCCUGUAUGUCUACCGUGAAAGCGUACGGCUCAACCGUAUUUUGUCGGUAGAAACUGCAGGACUUGAGGCUGGGAGGGGCUGGUGGAAUUCCCUGUGUAGCGGUGAAAUGCGUAGAGAUGGGGGAGAACACUCGUGGCGAAGGCGGCCAGCUAGACCAGUUCUGACACUGAGGCGCGACAGCGUGGGGAGCAAACAGGAUUAGAUACCCUGGCAGUCCACGCUGUAAACGAUGGGCACUAGGUGCCGGCGGUCUUGAUCCCGUCGGUGCCGGCGCUAACGCAGUAAGUGCCCCGCCUGGGGAGUACGGUCGCAAGGCUG